GGAUGCGAUCAUACCAGUACUAAUGCACCGGAUCCCAUCAGAACUCCGAAGUCAAGCGUGCUUUGGCGAGAGUAGUACUAGGAUGGGUGACCCCAUGGGAAGUCCUCGUGUUGCAUCCC
rfam:Ipomoea nil DNA, scaffold: scaffold3084, cultivar: Tokyo-kokei standard.